GGCAGUUCUUGGGUGAUGCACUCCGGAAUCGGGCUCCCUCCUCUCUGGUUCCGGCCCAUCACGAGAGAACCGCU
rfam:Myotis brandtii contig250301, whole genome shotgun sequence.